CUUCCGAUGUACCUUCCCUUCUGCGCUUUUCUCUUAUUAAUUAGAGGGUAGUCCGCUUACUAGUUAGUUUUGGGUGACCUUGGAAACAGCAUUGAAAGCCUUAGUUAUGAGCUGUAGCCUUAGAAAAGCAAUGAAAGCCCUAGUUGUGAGUUUGAUUCACCGGGUGAUGUUUGUUUCCUGGUUAUGAGUUUGCUUCUCCUGAAGGAUACAUCGAUAGGAAGGUAAAAGAAGAAAGCUCAAUACUCAUAAGGAUACACCGCACCGGAUAGAGGGAGCUAAGUAACGUUCCAAUUCAAUCUGAAUGAUUGGUGCAACCAAUAGAAUAGAAUGGGUGCUCGGGUCGGGGUCCAUGAUAGGCGCUCUCAACUCUAAAUACAUAAUUCCAUUCUAAAGUCAAUCUACCUAUCUUGUGAUACGAGCUAUAAGACAUUGAGUAAAGAGAGCAUAGUUUACAUUGCAAAAGAGCUCAUAUAAAGUAGAGUUACCAAUACAGUGAUAUCUUAUCUCCUCUAUAAUACUCCUAAUCUUGAAAGUCCAGAAUCAAAUCGAUGUUAACAAGAAAUCAACUAAAAGAGUGUAGCGGCAGGAGCUUCAACUUUAUUCGGAAACUCAGAGGUAAGCUUGUAGGAAAGUAGGAAUGAAUCUCUUUGGGCAGCUGACUUAACUCGAGCAGUCUAUAUAUACCGGGAGUCCAGGUUAGGGUGGAAGGGAGUUGACAGGCAUUUAUAUAAGUGGAGAGAUAUAGGUUCGUAAGUCAAUCGGGUGUUCAAGCAAGAGAAGGAUCAGACUAAAGUUGAAAGAGAAUCCCUAGUUACUAGUUCGAAAGGAGAGUGAAAGUGUUGUUUACGAGAUCAUAAGCAUUAUAGGUGUUAUGUUCUUUGACUUGAGUGCACAGUAGCUUUAAGGUAAAGGUUCGACAAGGGUAUAUAGGUUAUACUAUUCGUUUGAAGAGUUAUAGUCUCAUCGACGAGUCUUGUUCGGGCAGAAUAUAGUACGAGUUAUGUUUUAGUAAACCUCUUUUCUUAGAGCCGUUACUACUUUUUCUUCUUCAAAGGAUUCCACAAGAACAGAAGUCCAACUGUUUUCAUUCAAAUAGAAAGAGUACUGCUCUGGUAAAGAAGAUAGUACGCGCAGGAAAGUCUUAAAGCUAGGGAAAACAAGCAAUGGAAAGGCGAGCUCAAUCCUUAGAGUGAUACGCGGUGCGGUGCAAGAACAAGUGCUUACGGAAGUUAGCCCGUUAGCUUUGGAGUUUGCUUUGGAGUUUAGUGAAUAAGCAAUGGUUUUCAAAGCCAUAGGUGAGGUUAGAAUGCUUUCUUUGUUUACCCGCUCUGUAAGUGUCUAUAUUAUGCAAGAGAUAUGUGUAAGAGAUCUUAUCAAUGAGUAGAACAAGCAAGUAAUCCGUCUCGCACCCAUUGAGCUCCUGCCGCCUAUCAGUUUUCAUUCAAAUAGAGGUAAGGUUUGCAAGGGAACCCGUAAGAAUAAGAGUGAAGUUACCGGUUGGGGAAGAAUCGACUCGACCCCAGCAACUACAAGUUUCAUAUCCCAUGUGGAAUCCCCUGUUCCUGUGAGAGUGAAGUGAUAGUCCGAAUCCCUUGUUUCAAGCUUAAUAGUAAGGCUCGGGAGCUUGUGUUAAGCAAAGAAGAAAUCUAGAAUAUUUGUUAGCUUUUUAGUCGGCUUGCCCUUACUUAUAUCGCUUAAUAAUGACUCGUGCAGGAAUAUCAAGUGCAGGAAUAGAAACUCCGUUCCAUAACUCGUAAGUCAAACAGGAAUCUCUCUUGGGCAGAAAUCAAUUUCCAUUUUCGUUCUGAUGUUCUAUAUGUCCAUUUUCUUUAUUAUAUUCUAUAUGAUAGUAAUGUUACAGAGUAUUCAAAACUUUCUCCGUAAGCUGAGUCAAUGAACUCACCGGAUGCAACUCAUUUAGGGCUAGGGUAGGUAGGGCAUCGCUAGUACUUUUGGUUUAUGCUUUUCCUUUUGACGACCUAAACUCUGGUAACUAUUAAUUUCACCCUGUUUGUAUACCAAAAUACACUUUCUUUCUUUCAUUAUUUCUAUCCUUUGCCUGGCCUUUUAAAGCACCCAAAGCAACUCUCCUUGGACCUGGGGCAUUUCCACUCGUCGGGGCAAUAAGAUAGCUGUAAACCGAGGCUGUAAACGGGCUGUAAACCUGAGUUUAGGUAGGCUUCAAUACCUUACUUGAAAACAGGGAGAGAUCUUUUCCAAGCAAGAUGGGCUUUCCUACUAUUUCUAUACUAAAUUCAGUAUAUCUCCUUAUAUAGGAUUCAAUUAAUAAAUCAGUAUUGCCAGGUCCAGGAACAAGAUCUACAGCCAGCCGGGGAAGACCUUCUGCUAAGAAUCAAGUUGACCGGUAUUGCACUAAAGAAUUGGAUAAUUACCCUAGUGUCCCCUGAAGAAUAGCUACACUCCCAAGAAAAAGAGAUAUUUGCAGGGCUCACUAGCUGCUACCGCUACACAUUAGUAGUUACUUGUCCCAUACUUACAUGAAUUAUUCUCUUUAAAAAGGAAAAAACACGCCGCAGGUAGGGAGACUCCCUUUACUAUAGCACUAAGUCUUGCCCGGGAACUCGCUCCUGCCGCUAUGAAUUAGGUGAACUCAGGACAUCGACAACAAACACAGAUGAAACUCGGUUAAGCCUUAUUGUAAACCUUGCCCAACCUCGACUAUGGCUCUUUGAAUUAUUGUUCUUUUCACUCUUGCCCCAUUUCAUCUUUAAUAACAAUUUAUGGCUUGUAUACUAUGGGAUGGCUCUUCUAGCUCUCCUCUGGCUACUCGGUAUUUCACUCUAACAGCUGCUGAUACUUGAACUGGAACUGCCCUUAUAUGAAAGCCGACGCCACCCAGCAAAAGAUCUGAUAUCGUCGACUUAACCGCACUCGCACCCAUCAUAUGAAGUAUACAAUUUCACUACACUUUCAUAACUUACCCCGACUUCAACUUAUGAUCGAUUGUCAAUUCAAUCUUAGAAUAAUCACAGAUAGAUAAAAGCAGACAAGUAUAUACUACUGCGAGGGAGAGAUUUGUUCAACAAAGGGUAAACUGACUAGAAGGGCAACUUACUAUAAGGGCUCUUGCAAGAAAUACGGAUUUUCAACUGGACUACGCAGCUUGUUCCAAUGAAAAAAGCAGACAGCUUUCAUAUAAGUAAGGGCAAGUUAACCGCCGAAGACAUCUACUUUACCGCCGAUGAGAAUACAUCUUGAACUUCCCUCUUUUCUUUCCUCAGUCAACUGCAGGUUGUCAACUCACUCCCUAAACGGAACUAUAGCACCGAUCCUUUCUCUUAUUAUAGGUCCAAGCAACAGCUGUGUCGGUAUAUAGAGUUGACCGGGCAAUGUUGGUAGAUAGAGGUUACAGGGCAAUGUUGGUAUAUAGAGGAAUUAAGGGCAAAUAAGGCUUUCACACCGGAUUGAGAGCACGAGCUCUGUCAACUAAUUCUUUCAUUCCGACUUAUGAGCUUGCUCUUGAAACAAACAACUCCUCUUGAAACUUAACCUCGUCUCUUUUCACUAUCACAAGAACAGGACUCCCAGGGGGCAGGCAACCAAUGAGGAAUUGCACUCAGUAGCCCUAUUGUUGUUUCCUUUGGGAUUGAAUUUGACUCUUGAGCUCCGUCCUCAGAUUCUUUUUCUUACCUUGGAUCAAUAGUAAUAGGUGGAUCUGCUUUCACUGCUGACUUGUUCACCGAUACCGGAACCCUAUGCCUAUACCUAAACGGAACCCUAUGCCUCUGCUCAAGAGGGAAGGUUUGCUAGUCAAUUGAAGUGAAACACAUACCCUAGUUAAGGAGUGACACAAGCCAAGCCUACCAACUCGUAUAGGAGUGAGACAAGGCUCUAUUUGUUUGAUAGGCAAUAGGAACCCCGAACCCACAUCUUUAGAUUUAGCACCCGAACCGAACUCUCUGAUCCUGACUCAGAUCCCGCUCCUCUUCUUGAGUUUUCUACCAUAAUUCUUCCCACUCCUGUUCGCACCACUCCUGCUGACCACUCCUCUUCUCUUUCUCCUCUACCUUUCCAUUUCAUCUAACUCUGUCUCUAGUAUAGUUGCUUGGCUCUAGUAUUCUUACACGAGUCAACAGGACAGCAUUAAUUAAGGGCAGACACAAGCUACUACUAUUGAUGGCUCCUCCACAUAUGGCUAUCCAAAAUACCGUGCUUUGGUGACUUCCGACUUCCCUUGCCCACCUCUGUUAUUGAUCAGUAACAAGUUCUUCUAUACCCGCUUACUGCUUAAUCUGGGCAUUCCUAAACUAUACUGGAUUUCCCACUCCUUUCACUCCGGACUCUGGUAUUGGUAUUAUAACUCCUAACUCAGGUACCAGUGUACAAAUUCCAGUUAGAAAUAGGACCGGACCACUUAGCACUGAAAAGCAAGUCUCACUCAAGAUAUCCCUCUGCUCAGGCUACUACUACGGAUAAAACUGUAAACAAAUACUUCUUGAAAGAGCUAUACCUACUUAAUAUAAGGGCAACUGCCAAGCAACUAAAGCGCAUCCUUUCUUCAGGAGACCAGGUACAGGUAGGCUUUCCGAGUAUAGAGUAUAGUUUCCUUUCCUGGUACCGGCCAAGCUUAGUAGUUAGACCAAGCAAAUAGGCAAGUCUAAAAGUAACUACUACUACAUCUGGUAGAACACUCAGAAUUGAACCACUUUUCCUUGGUCAACAAAGACAGAUGCUACUGCCCCUAAUACUUGUUCCACUGGGCUGGGCUGGGCUCACUUACCAAAGAAUGCAACUAAGUAGUCAACUAACCACUCCAGUUAUGGUUUCUGUCUAAACUAACCACUAAUUCCUACUGCCUGGCCUCUACUUAUGCCCUAUUAUUAAGUACUGCUUACCUUGCCUAUCUCUUGAAAGAAGUAUUUUACGCCUACCUCAACUUAAUUUACAGCCGACUCUCCUUACUUUAAGAACUGAACCAGGAACAGGCUUGAAGUGAAGCACCUUACUUUAUCAAACAGGCUUGAAGUGAAGCACCUUACUUUCGAACUCGACUUGGAGUUGCUGAUCUACCAGUUGCUUCUGCUGAUACUGACUUAUGAGUGGAAUUCUCUUAUUUACUUCUUGCAUUCUCACUUUAGAACCAGAACAGGGGAGCUCCUGCCGCUACAUUUACUACGUUACUUGACCCUUAGUUAGUUGCCCCGUUGCUUGGCCCCGCAUCUAAGCCAGUACUUUAUUCUUCCACUUCUUAUAAGGGCCUAGACUAAACUCGAGCUACUUCUUCCGCUGGGCCUCUCCCCUGUUAACAAAUACUUUUAUUGCUCUGGACUCUGGACCACGGAACUACUAUUGCUCUUCAAACUAUCACUCCCCUUGAUGCUAUCUUAUAGAAUACUACUGAUUCCACAGCUGACCUUGCCUCUCUCUCCUCUGGCUCUGUAACUAAAGAAUUGGUCCGUUGCUAAGGUUAGCUUGGUUGCUCCUUACUUGAAGAAUGGAGUUUCUGUAUUGCCAUGCCAGGUCCAGACUCAGUUUCAUCCGUUCUCCUACUUUAUGUUAAGGGUGAGUUAGGUCUACCAUUAAUGAUAAGGGCUGAGGUUGGCUAUAGGCUUCAAGGAAAGAAAGAAACACUCUCCCAUACUGCUCUAUUCUUAUUAGUAGUAGUUUCAUUCAUAACUAUCUACUUUUCUGGUGCUCCUCUAUUGCUCCUCCAAGUCGACAAGACAAGCUUAUACUAAUGUUGCUCGAUUGAUUCAAAGCUGUUUCCUUACUUAAAGGAUUAGUUAAGUCUCCAGGAAAGCACUCUCCAGAUGGCGUUCAAGCCUAUAACUCCAACAUACAUGUAAUUGUAAUAAUAACUAGCCUAUUCUUACUCGUCGCCCACGCUGUCAACUGCAACAGCACAAAUAGACUGCGCUUUCCCUGAGCAUUAGUUAGCCCUUCCCUUAUCUUUAUUCUCUGGAUCCUCUCCUUAAAGGCAUGCUUAGCCGGGCCGGGUAUUGAGUUUGUAGUAUAACACUUUGCUUACAGAAGAGUUAACCUGUUUUCGUGAGCCUGUUUGAGUUAAGUCUACUGCAAGGGCUUCGUUCCUUUCUUUUCUCAUUACCAUUCCUGUUUUUGGCUCCUGUUAUGAGCAAGUCCUGUAUUCGUGUUCCGCGGUAGCGAGCUAAAAACGGGUGCUGAAAGCCUGUUUGUUUGCAAGAGAAGUUAUUGGUCUAAGUCGUACGAGACAGGUGCUUCUUCAGCGCUAAGUAAAGAAAGAGAAGUUAUUGGCGGACUUCGAUUCGAGCAGUAGAGUAGGGCGAGCUAGUGUUGUUUACAAGGCUCUUUCAGUUGUUCAAGUGCAAUUACCGGUGUUUGACUUUAAGCCGAGUUCUGUUAUUGGGCUGAAUCCGCAGCAGUAUCAAGAUCAAGUAAGUCAGCAGCGCCGGUCUGAUUCAUAAGAAAGGGAAGCGGGAAGUCAAGAUGUUGGCAACGAAAGAGAUGGAUUCAAUUAAUAAUGAGAACAGUAAAAGUAAAGGCCUAGACUAAGUUACUAAAGGGAAAGUUUUGGAAUGAUUUGACUUCGGAUCAAGACUCAGUAUGGAAGAGGGUUACUACGUCCUGUUUUUUAGAGUUAUUACCGGACGAGCAACUACGGAAUGCUAAGCUGUGUCGUGUCUUUCUUUACAGAGAAUUCAUUCUAUACCCAAUAUUAACAGAGAUACAAAAUGGAAUCUUAUAAGCCGUAGGCGCAAGGCAGAGGUAAGCUGCUUCAUUUCCUGGAUCAUAAGCCGAAGAUAUAUCCUGAGUAGGUCAAGAAUUAGGAGCUUCAGAAAUUCCAGGUUCCGGAAGGCAAUGUGUACUUUCUUAUUUCCCUGAACCCACCCGUAAGCCUUUCCUUUCCCUUCAAGCAUACAGUAUGAUUGACUCUUACUCACAGUUCAGUUCAUUAGUUGACCUCUGUUGUGUUUGCUUUCUUUCAGAAUCUCGUAGUACUUCCUAACUGUACAAUCUUACAAUCUUGACAUUGGUAAUAGUAUAGUACUUCCCUUAGCAAUCCUUUUACCAAUCGAAUGUACAGAUCCCUAUCUUGUAAUGGGGGUUGGGUUGCUCUCUAAAUUGUAUCGUCUUGGACAACCCCAUCUUUCUUUCCGUUUAGGUGUGGGUGUUCUAAUGAAUGAUUUGAUGCUCUCUAUCCUCUUUGCUAUGCUCUCUUCUUUGAAAGGAAGGACUGUAUAGCUUUGGUUGUCAGUAACUGUACAAUAGAACGGGUAAAGGAGCGGGCAUCACCUCCUUAAGGACAUAUAGUAAACUAUCAUCACUUAUGGACCUGCCUCUCCCCUUAAGCAUAAGGUAUUUGUUUAGCUCGUUCCGACUUAGCCUUUCCUUUCUCGAUCCCGUGUAGUAGGCGCAUUAGAUAAAAGGAGAUUCUAUCCACUAUAUCUAUAAAGAAAGUAGAAGUAAAUGACCUAAUCGCUUAUUAUGACCAAAUCGAUUAUGACUAUUAUACUCUUUUUCAAGUGGGCUUUCUUGAAUCAUUGCUGCGCCCCUUUCCUUGGCUUCAAGCCGUACCCGCUCUUUCCUAUAUUUCCACAACCUACGUCGGCUAUAGGGAGGAAGCAAGGAUUAAGGUAGAUAGGUAGAAUUCUUGUAGGGGAAGCAGCCCCAGCCUUUCAAUAUCUCGUAUGGCCCUGUCUUCUGCCUCUAUCCAGAAUUAGUCUCUCGAAAACAGUCCUGAGGAGACAUCUCUUUAAGAAAGAAAAAAGAAUAGGAGAUUCUUAGAAAUUGAACCAUUGGCGGCCAACAUUAAAGUAAUGAGCCGACCGAUCAGUGAGCUCCUAUUGGAAGGAACCCUACUGAGCUUUGUUGCCCCAUUUCACUAAAGGAUUCUUUGAUUUCUGUUAGAUAGCCAGAAGCAAGCAGAGUGGAACAGAGGCAUAGGUCAAACUUAGAGAAAGAAGGGAUAUACAAUGGUCUAGGUUAAGGCCGGUAAUGGAGUUCGGGUCAAGAAGUGGCAUAGAACAAUAUAGUAAUUAAGAGAAGAAAAGGAUAGAGCGAAACAGGAGGGUAAGUAAAGGCAAGGGUCAAGAGGUGAGUUCGAGGAAGAAUGUUGAAUCUGCUAUCCUACCCCCUAUAAGAGAGAAUGAAAGGCAUCGCAGCUGACGCUGCCCUCGCAUCAAAGGUACCUUAGCAACGAGUAUUUAUUUGACUCCUUAGCAACAUUAGCAACAGACUUAUUAUAGGCCUUAGAAACAGUAAGCACAGGUUAUUACCAAGAUUCCGCAUCCGUAUACCUCUGGAAACAGGCAAGUUAGAAUUCAACCACUAAGUCAAAGAGUGACACAUAGCUUAAACGACUCGGGCUCAGCUCCUGCCGCUAGAGUUCCCAUUAUUACAAUAUAUGUCUUCGUUCCACCCAGUUAAAAGGAGGACAAUACUCAACUAAAGGACACCCUGCUCUAAGGCUCCACCAAGCCUUUUCCGGGGCGCGUCUUAACUAUAAGAAGAAGGCGAGCGAAUCAUAGCUAUGUUUCGUAUUAUAUGGAAGAAAGGCAGAGGAGAGUGUAAGGGAGUGAAUCUAUAUUUAUAGGGAUCUGGGAGUGAAUCUAUAUUUAGAUCUAUUAUGGGACUCUCAGGGGGUGAAUCCAUAUUGAGAUCCAUUAUUAUACUCUAACUCAGGAGAUCCAUUAUUAUACUCUAACUCGGAGGAGAUCCAUUAUUAUACUCUAACUCAAGAAAAAGAGCCAAAAGUACAUAACGGCGAAAUCACUUACGUGCUGCUCUUGGAGGAAGGGCCAGCACACAUCCACACUACAUAAUGGUGCGAAAGUGCGCCAAUUCACAUUUAAACAUGCGACUCAUAUGAUCAUGAUUUUAUAAACAACAAGAAAAGUGUCUUUCUUGGCUUAUUCUCAUGAACGGAUUUAUAAGUGUAUUUGAUUCUUCAAUCUUUGAGAAACCCCUGCCCUGCUUCGUCUGUUGUCUACAAUACAAACUAUAUGGAGUAUAGCAAAUUGUGGAUGUUAGUUACUAUAUGGAGUAUAGCAAAUUGUGGAUGUUAGUUCAAGAGAUUUGAUGUAAGUCACAUUCUUUAGAAAUUGUUGAUAUUAAAUGUAUUAGGUGUUACAAAUGUGUACGAGCUUGCCCUACAGAUGUAUAGGAAAUGAUACCUUGGGACGGAUGUAAAGCUAAGCAAAUAGCUUCUUCACCAAGAACCGAGGACAGUAUGGGUUGUCAGAGAUGUGAAUCUGCCUGCCCAACAUCUUUGGAAAGUGUCCUUCUUUAUGGCAUGAAACAAAAACUCGCAGCAUGGGGUCUAUCUUAUUUAUGAUACGUUCCAAAUCUACUUGAAAGGUGUGAUUCCUAUUUACCGACUAAAGCUGCCCGUACUCGAGAAAUUCUCUUAUUCCAUUCUGAGCACGGGAUUUUCUGGUCAAAACGUGUAUCUUGUCUUUCUCACGAAUUCUUUUCUUACUUGGGGGAAAAUACAUGUUGUUUUGCCGAUCUUUGUCGGUUCUUCCAUUUGCUUUAUGCCUUAUAGAGGAAAUAAGAUGUUGAGAUAGUAUACCCUAAUUGCUAUUGGGAUUCUGAACUCCUUCAAACGACCUAUGUAUUCAGCCAAUUGGACGAUCCAUUCAUCUUAUGUUUAGAAGAUGGGAAAUGGGGAUAGAGAUGGGGGAUUGGAACUUUAGACUGGGAAUCGAGUCGAGGGACCUUUCCAUAGGACCUAUUUUACUGACAGGAUUUAUCACCACUUUAGCUACCGCAGAGAUUAUUUGAGAUCCGCUUAGCUUAUUUACUUACUUAGAUCAGCUUAGCUUAUUUACUUGUUUAGACCUUUUUGUGUGUAAGGAGGAGGAAAGUGAAUCAAUUAUAUCAUGUGUUACUUAUAUUCCAAUCGGAUACUUUCAGUCUCAAGGCAGGAGUUCGGUAGAGCAAUACCUUGUUGGUUAACUAUAUUCCAUUUGCUCUUUUGUGUACUCUUUUGCUUGCUUGGCCAGUCACUCGAAAUAAGCGAUUGUUCUAUUUCCUCAUUACUCAUAAAUCCAGGCAAGAGAUUCCCCCGAGUCACCCAUUCCCGAAAUAAAGGGAGGUGUUCUUGAGGACAUGGCGGGCUCCAAGCUAAACCCUUCUGCCUCUGCUACCAAAUCAUGGAUCUUACAGAUAAGACCAAAGCGAAUGAGCUCACUCGAUUCGCGUCUGAUUCUCAAUUCUAUCUAUCUCAUAUACUGGUGCUGAAAGGAAGUAACUUAAGGAAAGAUCCGGUGAGCUACACUCCUGUACCAAUAGACGUACCGCCUUCAUCCAGUUCCUGAGCAAAGACCACUCCUUUAAGUCCCGGACUCUAUCUCAGUUGUCAAUAAUGAAUCAGGAGGAGUCACCUUUCAAUCAUAAGGUUGCAUCUCUUUAAGAAGGAAAGGAAUAGAAGGAAGGAUAUAAUAAGAAGGAAAGAUAUAAUGCCGAAGAUAAGGAAGUGAAAGAAGAUAAGGAAGUGAAAGCUCAAUCCACCAAGCCACAAUUAGAAUAGAUAGUCAUAGUUAACCCCGAGGCUUGAUGUACAUAGCAAGAACCCGCUCAAAGUGACGAGAUCUUGUAUGACUGAGUUUGGCAAGUACCCUAUAACCUCCACUACUACCUAUCCUUACAAAGAUGGAUAACCUUCAUAAUUCAUAUACGGUUUGGUAUAUAACCUUAAUAAUGAAUAUACGGUUUGGUAUAUAACCUUAAUAAUCCAUGGAUCUUUUUUACAUAUAGCCCAUCAGACCAGACCAUAUGGAUUAUUGUAAGCAAGCAAGCAAACAAGGCAAGCAAACAACGAGCAGACAUGGCAGAUGGAUCUACGCCCCUUGACGCAAAAGCGCUUAGCAAACUCAAAUGCACUAGUGUCAGAAAGAGAAGAGGAGAUUAAUGCACUAGUGUCAGAAAGAGAAGAUUGAAGAGUCUAAAUAGGAACGGAGUCUUUCUUUCUGAGGAAACUUAGAAUCAAAAGGAAGGGCGCUUUCCUGUGGCAGGAAGGUGUCGGAGCUCAUCUUUCUAGGAGUCUCCUACAGGCUUUCCCUCAUUACUUUACUUCUUAAUAAUCCUAUAAAUAGGCCUAACUUCUUCUGGUUUUCUAGCCCGGUGACUUUGAAGGGCUUUUCUUUUUUCCCACAAUUGUAUUGCCUCUUCUUACUGCCGUAUUUAUGUUAAUGCAUUUUCUCAUUUGCCCUAGCCCAGGCUGGCUUGGGAAGUUUCUUAUUCUUCCUCACAAUAGUCAAGAUGAACUUAGAGAAGCCAAUGAAUUGUGUGAUCUGGGGGCUCCAUUUCUUUUUUCUAAUGAGCUAAAUGAGCAGCAAGAGCGAGCUUUUGGUUCAGGCCAGAGGAGCGGGCGAGCGGCCGAGACAUCAAAUAUGAAGCCAGUAUAGCUCCGAGAGAUACGAUUGGCACUGGUCUGAAACAACCCCAGUCUUACUUCAUAGAGUAAGCUCUCAAAAUGAGGUCCUGACCAUAAAGAGAAUGUCUCCAUCCCUCUAUCACUUACAACUUUUCCAUAGUAUUUCUCUUCACUUUCCGACGCCUCUAUCACUUCAUACUUCUCAUUUGAUUCCACAGUCCGACGCCUCUAUCACUUCCUCCUAUUCCAUAGUAUUUCUCUUCACUUUACUUAGCUUAGUCUAUAUCCACAGCUGACGUGACUCCGCCCUUUCUUUGUGGACGGAUAAUCUACUCUUUCACAAUACAAUAUUCUCCAUUGUAGAACAGCUCCUUUAGUUUUACUACCUAACAACUCUGUCAUUCCAUAGUCCCGACGCCUCUAGCAACUCUCCCCGAUAUGGAAUUGGAUUUCCUGGAAUGUGCGUGUCACAGCGUGAACAACUGGUGCAGCAGCCUCGUCCAGUGUCACUUCUGAGGUGGUGUCGUUUUGUUAUGGGUGAGAGUCAAGCGGAAAUGCCAUAUAGAAAUGAGAAGCGGCCACUUCCCCUUGGCUGAUUGAAACGGGAACGGGCCCUUGCUGCUGCGAUGGCUAGGUAGGAAGGAGCUUCACUGGACGCGGUGAAACUAGCUCCUACUCUUGGAACAGCUUGAGUAAUAAGUCCCUGGAACUCUGUUACUCGAUCCUAUAUCUAACCGGAGUACGCAAGGUCAGUAUUUCACAAACGAGUCUAUCAGGCUGAACAGAGGUAUUAUUUGCUGGGGAAGGGCGGAUCUGUUGAUCAGGGGGAAUUGGAGGUGGAUUCAAGCCCGAGAUCCCUUAUGACAUAUGCCCCCUAACGGGAUGAGAGGUUACCUUCGCUACACUCGCCAAGCUACUACAGUUCACAGAGCCAGAGGAAAGGCUUUGAAGCGUAAAGGAAAUCAAUCAAUCCAGAAAUCAAGUCAAUCUACUAGCACUAAGAAAGAAAUCCACCAAGCGACUAGGGGCAGGGUAAAGUACUUGCUUUGAAGCGGACUUACUUUAUACUGACUUAACUCGCCCUCAAAGAGACUAAGGAGAUUUCACAGCUACUGAGAAGAAAUAGAAGUUUUGUGGUUGAAUCCACAGUGCCAAAGUAAGCCAAUACACCUCUCCGCCAUGAACACCAAUAGACUAACGCAAUAGGGCGAAAGUAUACACUUCUGAAUGUACAACUUGUGUAAUAGAUUAACACCAAAGUUUGUUGAAUAGAAGAUGGAAUUCAGAAGUCAACAUAUAAAUGGGAAUUCAUUACACUUUUAUGGGGAGAAAAUGGCUGUUGUGGUAAUCCAUUUCUGGUAUCGUUCGCUGCCUCUUCAUUCCUGCCUGCUCGCUGACACACACGCCUUGCAUUCUUUCUGCACGGUUGCCCUUCCAUCUCCCCCCAUUUAAUGGCAUAGGGCGAACCCUGCUCCCGCUUAGAGAGAACUGGAGCCCUGUCAGAACGAGAACUGGCCCUUAAGUGUAAGGGGGGCGCCCAUUUGUUCGCUUAUACAAUACCCUCCCUUUAUAGUUAUCUCCCUCUCAUAUUGUCAAUAAUCAAGUGUUAGCGCUUUCUUUUAGUGGCAGUUCGAUUAGUCCAGGAUAGGAUCUUAGAAUGAUGUAACAGAGUGAGUUGACUUUCUCUUCGAUUCGAUAUGUGGAUAGCUAGAGUCUGGAAUGUAGUUAGUAACCCUUAACUAGAAGCACAGAAGCAUAGGCACUGCUAACGCUUGUUGAGUUCGACGAACAAGGUCUUCCUCAUAACAGGAGCUGCCCUUUAGCGCAACUAACUACUAAGCUUGGCCGCUCACUACCGCACAACGGCUUACGUGAGUUACUAGAGUAUAGUAAAGUGACCUUCUUACAUGAGUGGUGCACUCACAUUCUCUUAUGCCUCUAGCAGAGUUCCAUUUCAUUUUCGCCAAAUUCCAUAACAUUCCCCUUUUACCUUUCGAAAAACCUUAUCAUGAAAAUUCAGUAUUAUUCGUUUCUUGACUUUCUUUCUUGAACUGGUUGCCAUGCGAGAGGAUAGAUAGCUAGCAAAGGUCCAGCUGUCAUUUAUCUGGCGGGUAUAGAAUGGGAAGUGAAAGCUUAUAGGGGUAAGGAUGCUGAAGCUCCCUGGCUAUGAUGCCGAUUCUCAUGCUCCUUCCUUUCCCGUGGUAGAUAUCUUUCUGGAAUAGUUCAGGGAAGGCCAUUUCGCUUCUGAGAGUUUGGGGAUGAGAUGAGCUCUGCCCGCUAUGCUUAAUUGACUAAAGACAAGGGGAUUCUUAUUAGUUUGUAUAAAUGGUAUGAACUGGGAAAGUGGACUAUUCGCUGACUCCUUUUUCUAAGGACAGGAGUGAACGGACACUUAUGCUUUGUAUUACCGACCGUGCACGAUUAUCUCUGGUCUUGGCGGCAAUGUGUGCUUUGGUCUCUCUUCCUUUUCUGGGAUUUGGACUUCUAAGCUCGCUGGCCCCGCUGGUAGGAAGGUUUACGGACCUGAAGUUGACCAAGCAGCAGUAGGCCGGGUCCCAGAGAUUCAAUGGCUGAUUUUUGCAGUUAACGACUUCAUUGACAUCUUCGAUAGUGAGCUCGAGACCUGAUGAGAUCCAAAAUACAAAGACUAAAGAAAGAGUCAUAAAGUAUUUAGCAGAUGCUGUUAGAGAUCGGGAUUGCCUUCUUUCAUCUUAUCAAGUAGCAUAGGUGUUAUAAACCAAGUGAGGAAUUUGGCCUAAGUGUAAUGGCUGCUGCUAGCUCCACAUCUCGCUCUAGAGCCUCCACCGCUGCCUCCUGUUACUGAAAAUCCAAUAAAGUCAGCGAGUUUUGAUACUGUAUCCGGAAGAAAUGCGCCCCUACCACCGCUUUCUCUCGAUCAAUAAGGUCAAAAGCUGGCUGGAUCUGUUUACCCUGCCUUUGGUCUAGCCGGAUCUGCUCCAGGAUAGAAAGGCAUAAAUGAGAUGGCUGGAGAAGAGAGAGAGAGGCGAUGACCCGUUCCUUAUCGAAAGAUGCUAACUCAGCUAGCUAUUCCUUAUAGAAAGAUGCUAACUCAGCUAGCUAUUCCUUAUAGAAAGAUGCUAACUUAUUGGGAUGACUACCACGGAGGCCUUGCACGAGACGACGACUUGACAGAUGCUGAAGGGUUAGGUCAAAAUCCGACAUUCAUGAAAGUGUACUGUCCUCUGCUCUUUGAAACAAACCUUCUUAUUCUUUCUGCUCUUGGAAACAAACUCCUUCUUAUUUAUUCUUUCUGCUCUGACGCGCACUCCUUUCCACUUUAUUUGACUAAAGCCAGCCUGUAGCUUCUCAUGGUUAUCGAUCGAUGGUCUGCGCCACGCUUCUUUUGAUAUGGUUUAUAGUGCUUUUCAUAGCAUCUUAUUUGACCUAGUUGAUGUAGGAUCUCUGUUAGGUUAUUAUGGAUUUGCCUUCCUUCUCCCCUUAUGUCUUUUACGCCUAGGACUAUCACUAAUCUUAUGUCUUUUACGCCUAGGACUAUCACUAAGAAAGUAGAGAUCCCAGUCGCUAGAAGUGUGGAUGAUUAUCGACGGCCUACUGCUGUGAGACGUCCUAGUAGGGAUAGACCAGAUCAUCGGGCGCUAUUGCACAAGUACUGUAUAACGAGUACACUCAAAAGAUAGUAAAGGAAAAAGUCCAAGCAGAAAUCCAUACUCACUCCGCUUAGAUCAAUACUCACUCUGCUACUAUCCGCUUAGAUCAAUACUCACUCUGCUACUAAUAGAAGAUAUUGUGUUGCGUAUAAAGAUUGACUCAGAAGAUAUUGCGUAUAAAGCUCUUGAGGGGAAGUGGUCGAGAAUCUUAUGUAAAAAGGACGAAGGACGAUAAUGUAGGAGUUGUUGCUAAUUUGGACGGAUGAUUACGCGAGACUGUAUUUUGUUUGAAGCUGUGGCCCCUUUCAUUUCAUUAAAGCAAGAUAGGCCGGCCGAUCAAACACAUAAAGAGUAGUUUACUGCCAUAUGAGGAUUGACGAUAAGUAAGGAAGUUACGUUCGAGAGCGAAUCCGGGGCUUUGGUAAGCAUGGACUGAGGUAAAUCAAAGAAAUCGGCGCGGAACAAGACCGCCAAUGAUUGCUUCAAGGUAGCUAUAUUAAGUAAUAGCUCGAGUUUGAGGAGUGAAAAACUAUCAAAACUAAGAAGAAGGGGGGUGUAAGAGAGAUGCAUUGGUCACUUUACUUGGGUAUACAUAGAGGAGGAGGGAGGACGGGCCACUGCCAUAACGGAAACCCUGCCUUGCUUAUUGCCAGCACUGGGAUUAUGGAGUGGAGAAGCACAUAAUGAGAAGUUGGGAUUUCACUCAGGAUGCCUGGCCUUCACAUGGCAUUCUAAUCGAUCGAAGAAGCCAGUAAAACAUGCACUCAAUUUUGCGCUAACCUUUGAAUCUAUUGCAGAAGAGGUUUCUCGAAGGAUCUCCAUGCUGGAUGGUACAUGGAUAGCCGAAGAGCGUGCAGAACGGGGUGUUGCUAUAGAGAGCCUACGGAUCCUAUGUUGCUCCUUUUGAAACCUGCUGUUCCAUUUCGAAGUUCAAGCUGAAGGAUUGGAGCUCCUAGGGCAUGGCUUUCAACCACUCAUCUUUCUUGUCAUGUGCCAUGGCCUCUUGAUAGCCUUCUGGCUCUCCCACAUCUGUCAACAUCACAUAUGAAUAAAGAUGAUACGAAAGAAAGGUCUUCUUUCUAUGGUAGAGAUGGAGGUACCUGUUCCGCUUGUGCUUGUUGAUCCAAAUUCGAAUUAACCGGAGCCUCAUCAUUAGUUGCAUCAUCUUGAGCUUCGGUCUCCCACGUGAUCAUCAUGAGCUGUAGGUAGAGGAACUGGAUCCAAUAGCCUGUAGCCAAAUUCGGAAUGUCCAUAACCCCAGAAGAUGCUGUCAUCAAGCUUGGAUUUAGCAUCUUUAGGAAUAUUGAAAAAUGCCCCGCUGCCGAACACAUCCGCGUGACUGUAAGAUACAUCUUUCCUCGUUCAAACUCUUUCUGGAAUGUAACCAUUCAAGGGUAGUUUGCUAUAAAAAGGGGAAAGGUUGAUCAAGUAAAUUGAAGUUCUCAUUGCCUCAGCCAAAAAGGAUUUUUGUAACUUGACAUGAGAGAGCAUGCACUUGAUUCUUUCUGUGAUUGAAAGGUUCACUCUCUCUGCCACUCCAUUGUGCUGAGGGGGUUGAGGCAGAGCCACUCCAUUGUGCUGAGGGGGUUGAGGCAUACUUUUCGAAAGCCUGAUGCCAUGUGUUAAGCAAUGAAGGUGUAGCACGAAAGAAAAAGAAAUAGUAAUAACAUGGAAUGUAGGUAAACCUGUGAAUGUAGGUACACCUGUUAUAGAAGAGAGUCAAUACUCAAAAAAAACUCCAUUAUAUGAUUAUUCUACUUCACUUUCUCUAGCUUGUUAUUCUGAUCUAGCUUCUUCUUUAGCCUUAAGCGCGUAGUGGGCACGAUAAAAGAUCUCUUCUUCUUUAUACGAUGAAACUAUAACUGGCAAUUAAUAAGCUAACUCGAACGAAAACUGUAUACUUCACUUCCGCAGUUGACUUACUUGAUACUGCACAACGUCUUUCGCCUGAAUCCUCUGACUACUUAGAUCCCUUAGCGCUUGCAACCCUUGACCGAGCAAGUUCCAUACAAGAAACUCUCUCUACGCUAACAAACACAUAGAAAGUAGGCAAUCGAUCAACAACAACCAGAAUAGAGUCAUGGCGAGUGGCUGGGACAAAAUGGAAACUCCAAUCUUGCCCAUGGUGAAUGCGGAAUGGGUCAUGGGGUGUAUAGUCUAGUAUUGUGUUUGCGAGUUUUGGCAAUUUCAAUGCGAGCAACAUCUUGCUUUAAGCAAGGCCAGUCAAAUCUAUCCUCGACUAAUGCAAUGGAAAGUCCGUAAGGGCACUCGGCGCCUAGGUUACCUGCGAAUCCCCCCGCGUGCAUUUCCAAAACAAGGAAGUAUCUAAGGGAGGAUCGGGGAACAAACAAUCCAAAACAAGGAAGUAUCUAAGGGAGGAUCGGGGAACAAACAAUAUAGUAGAUCGAUAAAGGUCACCAUCCCUUUAGUUUCGUUCCGCUCACGUUAGAGAGUUAUGUCAUCGGAGGAGCAGCAAGCCGUUUACUUGUUGAACAAAACUCGAAGGAAAGAAUUGCAUCUCUAAGCAAGUGAAGCACAUUCUUUGAAUAGAACUGCCACGAACUCACAUAUAGAAUGAAGUAACCAACACCAUAGAUAGCAUAGCUUCCUUUCCUGAUAGAUAGCAUAGCUUCCUUUCCUGAAAACACUAAAGCACUUUCUUUUGAUAUAGCUUAGGGGUGUCUCUGCCUCUGUCCUAUAUUCUAGUUUAGGUAAAAGCUAGCAGAGUUCUUGCGUAGCAUACCCUCUAAUCACGGUAUAAGAAUAACAUUACAGUAGCUUAAGUACUUCGCUGGGUGCACUCAAUUCCAUUCCAACUUGCUAGUGAGUAAGAACAAGCAAAGGGAAAGGGUAGAUCGAAGGGAAAGGGUAGAUCGAAAGCUAGGGCGCUAAGAGAAGAGGCGCGUCGAGAAGAGGUUGUCACUCGAACCGAACUAUACUUUAUACAGAUCCAGAUCCAGGUGAAUCCAUCUCUUGUCUUGCGCCGAGGAAAACAAAGAAUGGGAUUAUGGGGGCGAAUUGAGAGAAAAAAGAGCUGCCUUUCAGUCUACUGCUUCUUUAUACGAUGACGCCCCAUUCUGUUACUCACUUGUUCACUGUCUGACCUUAAAUACUCUUAUUACCUUUUCCUCUAGAACAAUACCCAUAUCUUCAAACAGCAUCUGAUGUUGCAUACUUUACUCGAACAGGAAUUUAGUGCGCAUAAGAAGGAAUUUCUUCUUACCUUAACAGAGAUCCUUAACUCACUUAAUACAAGCAUUCAAAAGAUCCCCUCUCUAAGCCAAUCACUUUUCUGGCAGCUGACACAGAGGAAACUAGAACAGAAAUAGACUCGACUAAGACGAACAAGCUUAGGCGUAAAGACAAGCAACGGCAAAGGAAUGGAGUGGGUAUUUUUCAUAAUUAGGAGUUUUCUAGAGUAGGAACACGGGAGUAGAGCUGAGCUUCUUCAUACUGUUCCUUGGGACUAAACUUCAGCAGUUGAUCAUUCCAUUCUGUCGAACUUCUACUAUGGGAGAUUAAGUACAACACUCCUACUAACUAUCCCCGCGUAGUUAGGUACAACACUCCUACUCACUAUCCCCGCGUAGUAACUCAACGACUUGUACUGUCUUUACGGAUUACUUGAGAACAGAGCUUGCUGGUUCAGAUACAUAUCCUUGACUUUAUGAAGCAUCAGAUCUUGUCGACAACACUUUCCACCAUACUUCUACUAUAAGUAGUUACAGCCUUAUACACAAGUACUAUAAGUAGUUACAGCCUUAUACACAAGUACUAUAAGUAGUUACAGCCUUAUACACAAGCACUAGGAUUAUACUCUACUGGGGCACAUACAGAGAUUCUGGAACAGAAGUGGAGGGUUCUUUUGCGGACCUUCUCCU
rnacentral:lncRNA from 1 species